UUUGGUUUAUUUUAUACUAACCAGCCCAAAGAGGGGUUAUUUGGUUUUGUCUAUUUGUUUUCAGACAGGUUAUGUUUUACACAUGGUGGUACACGCAUAUCACAGCAACAUCAUCCAAGAUUUCGUGUGUGUGUAUUUGAAGUCGAUGACUCAAUAUGUUCGAUCAGAUUGUGGCAUGGCCGAUGGUAAAGAAGAACCAACUAUCAUGUUUGAGGACAAAACAUAUUCUGCCCAAAAUCUUCAUCACCCACGGAUUGCAGAAAUUUGGAGAGGUCCAAGGGACCUUCAGUAAUGUCCAAAUCAGGGGGAGUAAUGUGUGUUGUACUCUUUUUCCUUCACCAUGGUUUUGUCCCAAUUGAGUUUUCCUGGUAAGGUUUUAAUGAGGCAACAUUAAAGCACAUUACAAGCUCUAAAUGGUUAUGGCAUCCAAGGGGGAGUGUUAUGAACCAGAUUGUGGAUGUCUCAUAACCAAAAGAUUAUGAUUUAUAAUCUUUCCAUUUAUCUAUGACGGUGUAAUCUCAUAUAUAAGGAACCUCUAUGUUAUGAAUAAAAAUAGAUUUUUCGAUUACUUUUAUAACAAAUUUCAAAUAUAUUUGAUUUUCACCUGUAAUUUGUUAAAUUUAAUUAUUUUUACCAACCAUAACAAUUUGUUUGGAGCGCGCUAUUUUCAGUGUAGCUAUUUCGCAUUUGUGCAAGAUUAACGAUCAAACAAAUUAAUGGAAGUCCGCCCUAUCGGAAAUUAAUUAAGUUAGGUGAUCUUGCUUAAUACUACUGUUAUACUUAAUCUAUUGACCUUAGGGCAUCAUUAUUGGUGUCCCUUAGGCUGGGUCCUUAAGCGUAGGGUCCCUUACCUUUUAACUAAAAAAGCUAAGGAACGGCCCUUAAAUAAGGGAUUUGAGAGAAGUCCCUUAACGUUUUUAGUUAAAAGUUAAGGGACCUUAUGCUUAAGGGCCUCAACCUAAGAGACACCAAUAAUGAUGCCCUUAGUGUAGAUGUUCUGGACUUCAAUAUUUUUACAAUGUUAUCAAUCAACAAUAGCUUGAGCUGAUACACGAAACUGAAGCCCCGUGUAAUUUUUUUUCUGUACUUUGUCAAGAUUUUUCAAUUAAUGUUCAAAAAAGUUUUUUCAUCGAUACUGUUAAAAUAUAAGACCUUUUUUUUAGGUGUCUUCCUGUUUCAACAAUAUUUACAAGAUUUUGCCAUUGGAUUAUUUUUAAACUAUGAUUUUAAUUAAAUGCAAUAUAUUUUAGUAAUUCCUUUUAUUCCUCACAAAGCUUUGAGUUUCACGGGGGUUCAUGGCACCAGAUAUUUUGGUUCUCUCAAAGUUAAGGGUUCUUCAUGGACUUCGUUUAAUCGGUUUAGAAUGCGGACAAAAUGGAUUGGGAACGGACAUGACUAGAUUUGAUUUUGAUUUGAAAUAUGGUGAUUUAAGUAAGGUGAGAUGCGAUUCAGAGUAUUGGUGCUGGUGAGGAUGAUAUCGGCAUUGGAGAGGAUGAAACUGGAGCUGCCUGACGAAUAUGCAAAACGUGUUAUGGUUCUAACGUGUGAUUCCAAAGCUGAAGGCGGAUCUUGUGAUGUGUAUUUGACUGGCACUGUUUAUUUUUCAGAGGAAUCAUGUCGAGAAGUUGAAGCUUUAGUCAGCUACAUGAAACAAGAUGUUCUUCUCCAUUACAGUGAACUCUUUUGGUAAUGUGUUUCUCUCUCUCUAAUUACGUGUCUCAUGUAUUGCAGGUCGUCUUCGUGGAGUUGUGUGCAAGCCGAUUGUCUAUUCUGAUUCUCACACCUCAGGCUGUGAAAGUUUUGCUCUGCAUCAUUCUUAUAACAUUUGUACAUGUGUUCUAGCUCUUCUUUUAUCAAGUAUCCAUGUUCUUUACUCUGGAAUGUUGCGAUGUCUUUGGUUUUCUGGUUUCCGACCAUGUGGGAAGUGAUAGACAUGUGGAAGAAGAAGCACAACCCAUUCGGAAUAGCCUACGAAUACUUCCUCUGUUUUA